rnacentral:lncRNA from 1 species
GCUGCUGGGAACCGGCCGGGGUGCCGGGUCGAAAGACAGACGCGCGGGCCGGGCGUGCGCGGGCUUGGUGGAGGGCGGGAAGGCUGAAGGGCGGUGACAGGUCGCACUGCCUCGCGAGGGCCAGAACGCCCAUUUCUGCAGAGGUGCACUCAGUGGCGUGGGAAAUCAAAUGCAUCCGGUUAUCCCAGUUCGGCCUCUCUGGGAUUCCGCGGGAGGGGGUGUCUGGUCUGGUUUGGUUUGGUUUGGUUUGGUUUGGUUUGGUCCGGUUCAAAGUAGCGCAGUCUGACUGAGCGGGAGGUGGAGUGGAAGGCGAGAAUAGGGGUGAAGGAUUAGACAGAAGAAGACUUUGAACUAGGAACAGUGGCAACCAGGGUGACCCAGGCUUUUGUGACCCGUAGAGGCAGAAGGUGAGGCGUCUACGCCCUCUCUCACCAGAUUUUGGGCGGCCCUGUGGAGACACCCUGUGCCCUUUAAGGGACAUGGAUUGAGUCGGGAUCUCAAAAUCUGCCUUAAUCCAUGUUCCCUUCGGGAUGCUGGUAUCCAACUGAGAAGUUGACGGAGCAUCUAUCGUGUGCCAGACACUGUGCUAAGUGCUAACGAGAAAUCGCUGUUUCCAGUCUACUGGUGAGCCCAUCAAAGGUAUUUGUGUUUCCGUAACAGUUGUUUUUUUAAAAAUUUCUAUCAUUUUUACAAUUCUUUCUUGGAGAUUUUCUUUCUCUCUCUCUGCUUACAUUACCCAUUUGUUCUUACAUGUUGUCUACUUUUUCCAUUAGUGCUCUAAACAUAUUAAUUAUAAUUAUUUUAAAUUUACUUUCUGAUAAUUCUAAAAUCACUGUUAUAUUUAAGUCUGGUUCCUUUGCUCGCUUUAUCUUUACAGACUGUGUUUUUUCUUGCCUUUCUGCAUUCCUUGCAAUUUUUUGUUGAAAGUCAGGUAUAAUGUAUUGGGUAAUAGGAACUGAGGUAAUUAGGUUUUAGUUUGACUUUUUAUGUUAAUCAGUUAGGAGUUGGGGUGUUUAAUGUUUGCUGUAGCUGUAGGUGCCAGAUGCUUUAGUUCAGUAUCUUUGUUUUUGUCUCCUUUGCUGUCUUUGCGUUUCCCUAUCAACUUCUUCUUAAAUGGUCUGGGUUUCUCAGCUCUCCCAUUGUAAUCUAUUGCUAUUAUACUGGAGCACUGUUGAUGCAGUGGCAUGGUGUUAGGGAAGGGAAAUGUUCUAUAAUUUUAUGAUUAAAUUUCAGAUUUUUAGUUGAGUUCCUGGGCUGUAAUCUUCAGAAUUAUUUCUUAGCUUUUUUUCUCCCUUUAGAUGAGAUAAGAAGGCUAAAAAGGACUAGCACUGGCUAAUAAUCCCUUCCUAGGUCAGGAAUGGUUCUGGAAAGGUAGUUUCCCUCGUAGGGCAAGCAUUUGUUACAAAGAAUAUACUGAAUAUAUUUCAAAGUGGUUGCUUCCUGCUCCUCCUUCAGGAAACAGGAAGCAGAAAUUCUCUGAUAUAUACUGUCAGAAACUGGUGGGGUUCCUGAAGGCAAAAGCCAUGAAAGUGUAGCCUUUGCCUCCGAUUUGUCCCCUAGGAAUUUUCAACUUUCAAACUAGCCCACACCCAGCCUCAAGCAAUUCACCAAAACCACCACUUAAGUUUUCCUACCUAAUUGGCUCCAGUGGCUGCUGCUUCAGGAAAUCUAAGUUCUGCUCUGAUUCUCUGUAUUCACCUAUCGCUCCAAAUUUGGUGCUGGCAGGUUGCCCUGGGGCCUUAAAUCUCUUGGUCUAAGAUAAGUCAUUGCUUUUCUGUUUGUUCAAUGUUUUGUUGUUGUUGAAAGGAGUGCCAGUUUCCAAGCUCUGUACAUGUCAGAGCUCAAUAUUAGACAUUUGCGUUGGAAUUUCUUUCUUGGCUUGGAGUCGAGUGUCAGGACUGAUAUUCAUAGCCCAAACAUCACCAAGAAGCCGGUACAAGUAGAAGUAUUGACCCUCAAGGUCAUUUUAGUAUUGAUUUCAUUAUGAGAUAAUCACAUUAUUUUCUCUUUAUCCAUUGAGAAUAAAUAGCAUGCAAUCUGUCACAGUCACUGGUUUGGCUAACUUGACUUCCAUGCCCAGCCUUAUUUUCUCUUGCCUGCCUCUAACCUAGAGAGUGGAAAACCUAAAUAUGCAAGUUUCCAGCCAACCCUGAAACCAUAGUGGCCACGUGACUAUUUUUGUUUUUUUGCAAAUGUGAUCUAAACAUAAGUUUACAGGGAAGUUUCUAGAAAAGCUUUUGCUUUUUUGAGAAAAGGGGACAAAUUUGGCUGAUGUUUUAUCUUCUUUUGUAAUGCCUGCCUUGGUUAUGGAUGUGACACCUAAAGUUAGGGAAACCUUGAGGCUGCGGUUAAGAGAAUCGCAAGCUAUCCUCCCACCUCAGCCUCUUGAGUAGCUGGGACUACAGGUGUUCGUCACCACACCCAACUAAUUUUGUAUUUUUCUGUAGAGCCGGGGUUUCACCAUGUUGCCCAAGCUGGUCUCGAACUCCUGAGCUCAAGCGAUCCACUCGCCUUGGCCUCCCAAAGUGCUGGGAUUACAGGCAUGAGCCACUGUGUCCAGCCACCACCAGACUUAUGUGAGAAAAAUAAACCUCUGUUUGAUUAGGUGUUGCUAAAGUGGCUUUUCAAUAACUUGCAGCCAUAUGCAUUUCUGAUAGAGCACCUAACCUAUAUGGAAUCUGAGGUACAAAACCAAACAACCAGACUAAUAGAUAACAACUAUGAGGAGCAGGAGUCAACUUGGCUACAAUGAGUCAUGUUGAGGCCCACCCAUUCAAAGAACUAAAGCAAAGAUCAGUCUCAACAUUGUUGAAAUUCCAAGUACUAAAGUUUUGCUGGUUGCCAUUUGUUAUGCACAUAUGUCACAUGAAAUGUGGAGGGGAUGUUGUCUCUGUAAACUCAAAGUGCCAGUUUCAUUCCUGUAAUCCCAGUGGGAGGCCAAGUUGAGAAGAUUGCUUGAGGCCAGGAGUUUGAGCCAAGCCUGGACAACAUAGUGAGACUUCCCCCCCGCACCCCCCACCACUCUACAAGAAAGUAAGAAAAUUAGCCUGGCAUGGUGGUGCAUGCCUAUAGUCUCAGUUACUUAGGAGGCUGAGGUUGGAGGAUCACUUCUGGCCAGGAGUUUGAGGCUACAGUGAGCUACGAUCAGGCCACUGCACCCCAGCUUGGGCAACAAAAUAAGACUCCGUCUCUAAAAAAAGUUUAAGAAAGGAAAAAAAAAAAAGGAAAAAGCAUUAAACCAAGGCGUCAGUGACCAGUAGCAUGAGAAAAUGGCAAUUUUUAAGGAGGUGGGAGCCUUAGUAGUUUCCCUGAGCUGCACAGAUGGAUCUGAGAAAUAAAAGUAAAAUUCUAAGCCUUCAUCUGAAUGAACAGAGCCCCUCUUGGCCAGGGGAACUGCAGAGAAACCUUGAAAGCUGAAUUCAUGGCCAUGACAGGAUGAGAGAUUGGACACGCCUCAUUAUACUCCCUCCCUCGCUAACAGUCAUAGGUUUUAUUCCCUAAGGGCUAAACAGAAACCAGCCCUUUCAAAAGACUACUAGAUUAUUGUCCCAGGUACAGAACAAAGACAAAAUGAGAUUAAUCAUUUAUUUACCUCUCCCCAAGAAAUUUGCUUUCUCCAUUCCCUUUUUCUUCAAAUGUUCACCUUGUUUUAUGUAAGUGUGGAUUUACUGGCCACUAAAGUCUCACAAAUAUAUAAUUAUUUGUCUCACUACCACCCCUCAUUUUUAAGGAAAAUGUGUAAAUACUAAACCUCCUGUUCACCUCUUUGGGAAAAAAACAGCCACAGAUGCUUCUGUGACUCACAUUUUUCCUGGUGCACCCUCAAGCUGGCUCAAUAAACCUUGAUGUUUUGAGACUUACAGCACAAUCACUCAUUUUGGUUAUCAGAUCCAAACAAAGGAUAGAUUUCUAAGGUUUUUAUGAAUUAGGAAUGAGGCUCUUCUUUAACCAGUCUUCUUGGGCAAGUUACUUGAUCUCUCUAUGCUUCAGUUUCCUUAUCCAUAAAAUGGGGAUAAUAAAAGCAUGCAUCUCAUUGGAGGUGUGGGCAUCAAAUGAGAUAAUCUAUGUAAAUAACUCAACCAGUGUCUGCACACAUUAAAUGUCUUUUCAACGAUGUUAAAACUGAAUUGUGGACCUAGCCCUUUGCAUGUAUUGCCCUCAUCAUCCACAAACCCACACAGAAUUUUGCCUCUGAGGAGCAGCACUCAUGACUAGUUUGUUCUCAUAUCAAGGAGUGCUUUAAGAGAGCUCUUAAUAUUGAAGCAGAGAAAUAUUUCUAAGCUGCAAUGGACCUUGGCUUGUGCAUUAAUUUGGGCUCAAUGAGCUGCCAAAGUUAAGUGAACUUUUACUUGAAGGGCAGUAAACAAUGUCUUUCAGAAGUGUGACUCUGUUUAGAGAGAAUAGUGUUUAGAAUUUUUCCAGGAGUUGAUUAAGCUGGGAGGUCUGUAUGUUUCUUUUGAAAUAUUGAAAUGUGGAAUAUUGUCUGUCUCUAAUCUCCUGACAUCUUUCUCAGAGAUUAUUUAAGGUAGUUACUAACUGUCACUGUCUACUGCACUUACUGGGUCAGUACAUGUCACAAGUGUGGCUCUGUUUAUUGAUCUGGUUACAUUUGACUAUAUAUCACUUAAAUCUGAAAAAUAUUGACUUAAACAAGUAAAGGGUUUAUUUUAUUUUAUUUCAUUUUUUCUUUUUAUGUAACAAGAAGUCUGGAGACAGGCAGUCAGGAUGUAGUCUGGUGGCGCCUUCUUCUUCCCACUAAUCCUCCUUGAAAUUCCCAUGCUGGGAAGUUGACUGCUCCUUCUCUAGACCAUGAGUUUACAUUUUAUGCAGGAAAAAGGGUUUAAGAACAUAGUGCAAAAGGCACAUGCCAGCUGCUCCUUUAAAAAAUAAUAAUCAGGAAAAUACUUGCUCUCCCUGCAUUGAGAAAUCUACAUUCAGUAGAUUUCUGCUUACAUCUCAUUGGCUAGGACCAUGUUACCUGACCACACAUAGCUACAAGGAAGCCUGAGGAUUGUAGCCAGACACCUUGCUGUCCUAAACAGAACUGCAUUUCUUUUGGAAGAAGAGGAUGAUGGUGUUGGGCGUGCAGCUUGCUGUGAGUGCUGCACCCUUCAUCCCAUUACUCAAAAUGGCAAACUAGUUGAUGGAGCAGAGGAUAUGGCUUAAGUGUAGAGAUGUUUGCUCCAAGCCUGUAUGAAAAAGUUGCCUGUUUUAAAUAAGUAAAGGAAAAUCCAACCUCAGUAGCAUAAUCCAUGAUUAUAUUAUGAGGCAACAUUUUAGAUUUUUCUUGCUCCUCUCUGUUGACAAAUAUGCCUUUUUAGAAUUAUUGGGAAAUAACAUUUUUCAUAAAUUGUAGUACCUUGGCAGAGAAGGCCUCAGAUCCUUCCUGUCAAACUGACAUAAAAAUAUCCUAACCAUAGCCUGGGCCACAUGGGGAGACAUCAUCUGUACCAAAAAAAAAAAAAAAAAUUGCCAGGCAUAGUGGUAUGUGCCUUUAGUCCCAGCUACUCAGGAGGCUGAGGUGGGAGGAUCACCUGAGACCGGGAGGCAGAGGUUCCAGUGAGCCAAGAUUGUACCACUGUACUCCCACCUGAGCAACAGAGCAAGACCCUGUCUCCAAAAAAAAAAAAAAAAAAAAAAUUCCAAUCAUUUAAAAAUUAAAGUGAGAAGACUGAGAAAUGUCAAUAGACCAAAGGAGACUAAAAAGACAUAUUGAGAAAACACAAUGUGGUAUCCUGGAUUAGAUCCUGGAAGAGAAAAAGGAAGGUAGUGAAAAAAUGAGCAAAAUCUGAAAAAAGUCUGCAGUUUAGUUAAUAGUAACAUACAGAUGUUGCUUUCUUAGUUGUGACAAGUGUAACAUGCUAAUGAGAGGUGACAACGUGCUAGCAGCCCUCAUUUGCUCUCGGAGCCUCCUCGGCCUCCGCGUCUGCUCUGGCCGCACUCGAGGAGCCCUUCAGCCCGCCGCUGUGCUGUGGGGGCCUCUCUCUGGGGCUGGCCGAGGCCGGAGUUGACUCCCUCUGCUCAUGGGGAGGUGUGGAGGGAGAGGUGCUGGCGGGAGCCCGGGCUUCACGCGCGCUCGUGGGCCAGUGCGGGUUCCGGGUGGGUGCGGGCUCAGCGGCCCCACACUGGGUGCAGCUGGCUGGCGCCUGUUGGGCUUGAUCGGAGGCUGGGUCCCGUGCGUGGACUUCCGUUACCUCUUUGCCGGCUCAUUGGCCACCAUGGCGGGUCUCCGUCUCUUUGUCGUUUCCCGUUUUUUCCUCUAGGUUGUCUGGGAGGAGCUCCAUCUGGGCUGCCAGAGUGCCUGGGCUAGGUACUCCAAAGUCCCCUGGCGAGUGCCAGUAAGAGGUAAAGCCUGCUGGGCUUCUGGGACAGGUGGGGACUUGGAGAACUUUUCUAACUAAAGGUUUUUAAAUGCACCAAUCAGUACUCUGUGUCUAGCUAAAGGUUUGUAAAUGCACCAAUCAGCGCUCUGUGUCUAGCUAAUCGGCUGGGGAUUUGGAGAACUUUUGUGUCUAGCUAAAGGAUUGUAAAUGCACCAAUCAGCACUCUGUGUCUAACUAAAGGUUUGUAAACGUGCCAAUCAGCAGUCUAUCAAAACGGACCAAUCAGCUCUCUGUAAAACGGACCAAUCAGCUCUCAGUAAAAUGGACCAAUCAGCAGGAUGUGGGUGGGGCCAGAUAAGGGAAUUAAAAGCAGGCCACCCCAGCCAGCAGCGGUAACCCACUCCCAUUCCCUUCAAUGUUGUAGGAGCUUUGUUCUUUUGUUCUUCGAAAGAAAUCUUGCUGCUAGUCUCUCUUUGGGUCUGUGCUGUCUUUAUGAGCUGUAACACUCACCAUGAAGGUCUGCAGCUUCUUUCCUGAAACCACCGAGACCACAAACCCACCAGGAGGAACUAACAACUCCGGACUCACCGCCCUUUAGAGCUGUAAUGCUCACUGCGAGGGUCUGCGGCUUCACUCCUGAAGUCGGCGAGACCACGAACCCACCAGAAGGAAAAAACUCCGGACACGUCCGAAUAUCAGAAGGAACAAACCCCGGACACACCAUCUUUAAGAACUGUAACACUCACCGCGAGGGUCGGCAGCUUCAUUCUUGAAGUCAGGGAGACCAAGAACCCACCAAUUCCAGACACACUAAUAUAAAGUGUUAACAUUAGGGGAAACUGGGUGAGGGGUGAAGCUUAUAUGAGAACUCUGUAUCAGUUUUGUACCUUUUUUGUAAAUUGAAAAAUAUUCUAAAAUAAAAAGGAAAAUAAUUUUUCUUCCAACAUUUCCUCAUUAUAAAAAUUAAGGGCAGCUGAGCACAAUGACUCACACCUACAAUGCCAGCACUAUGGGAGGCCAAGGCAGAUGGAUUGCUUGAGCCUAGGAGCUUGAGACGAGCCUGGGCAACAUGAUGAGACCCCCAUCUGUACAACAAAAUACAAAAAUUAGCCAGGUGUGGUGGUGUGUGACUGUAGUCCCAGCUACUUGGGAGGCUGAAGUGGGAGGAUCGAUUGAGUUGGGGAGGUGGAGGUUGCCAUGAGUGGAGAUCCCACCACUGCACUCCAGCCUGAGUGAUAGAACCAGACUCUGUCUCAAACAAAUAAAAAACAGAAAAAAAUUAAGGGAAUGCUGGAGGAAAAAUUAUUACAUGACAAAAUAAGUAUUUACAUAGAAAAAACAGCAACUGUAAUUUGAAUGAAUGAGAUCCAAAUGUACUAGUAUGAGCCUAAGGUAUUUUCACAGCUGGAAUUUUGGCAUGUCCGCAAAAUUGCUGGUAGAAUGAUCUGCAAUAAGUCUAUUUUUUCAUGAGGAAUGGGAGGCCUAUUAAGAAAGAAUGUAUAGAGAGAUCAAGCAAAUGUGGUUCAAGAACAGUGGCCUGCAUGGACAGGAGGACUGAUACUAAAUAUAUUAUCAGUUUUUCAGAAUGCAUCCUGGCUCCAGAACCCAUGGCCUCCUGCUGGAGUUCUCCAUGUAAAAGAACCAGUAAAAGCAUUCAUAAAGCUGGCACACUGAGGAGGCAAGGAAUCGAUUGCACUGGGACAAGAUCUUUAUUAUUUUAUUAUUAUUAUUAUCUAUUUGUAGAGAUGGGGUCCUGGUAUGUUGCCCAAGCUGGUCUCAAACUCCUGGCCUCAAGCUAUCCUCCUGCCUCAACCUCCUGAAUUGACUUAAAAUCUUGGCUUGAGGCUGUGGUAUCUGAGCUGGCAAAUGGAAAAUUUGGACUGUCUAAUAAAAGUUGGGAAAGUGCAGAUUGUAAAAGAUGCGAGGGGUUGUUAAGUGGACAGUAUUAUUGGACAGGAGGGAAAUCUAUAGUAUUAACAGUUCAGUAGUAGUUCUGGCAUUGGGCACACAGGACAGGAGUAAACUGAGCAAGGCAUAGGAGAUCCCGUGCCUCCCUAUCACUGUCAGGUCACAAUGAGCUCCUCCUGCAUGAACAGCCAGAACCAACCACAAUGAAGGAUGCCAUGAGUCAGGUAGGCAAAGGAAAUCAGAAAGACCUGUGGAAGAAAAGCUGCACUGCCUAGCUUCAGAGCUCAAAGAGUCUGACUGCAGGCACAAGGAAAACAUAGAAUUAGAAAAAAACCUUUUCAGAAAGCAACUCUGCGGAGACAGGCUUGACUGAGCCCUGCCCCCAAGUUAAAUUGCUGCUGAAAACAGGUGCUGAUUGGACAUGCAAACUGAGAACUGCUAGUAUUACCAGCCAGAAGAAAAUAGUUCAUCUGAAGCAGUUAAAUUCCUGAAGAAUAUAUUACUGGCAUCGGUCCCACCCAAGUCUGAGUAGGAAUUUCAACUUCUAGUUGACCUCUUAUGGUUCUGACAAAACCAUACACCAUUCUUGAGGAUUUUAUGAACUCUAUUCACUAGAUUAUUUGGAAGGAACAGACUUUGUGCCUUAUCACUGUGUUGAUCAUGAGGUAACCACAGAGUGCAAAAUGGAGUAAUUUUGGAUUUUUUUGUCCUUUUCAUUGAAGUGUAAUUUACAUAAAGUACAAUUUACAGCCUUCGAUAUAUGGUUCUAUGAAUUUUGAUAAAUCAUCACAGUUGUACAAUCACAGUCUCUCCCUCUCAUACCCAGCCCCUGGCAAAAACUUACCUGUUUUCUUUCCCUAUCCUUUUACCUUUCCCAGAAAGUCACAUUAAUGGAAUCAUAUGUAAUGUAUUCCCUUUGGAGUCUGAAUUUGUGCACUUAGAAAAAUGCUUUGGAACUUUGUCCAUGUUGUUUCAUGUGUCAGUAGUUUGUUACUUUGUAUUGCUGAGUAGUAGUGCAUUAUGUGCAUAUAUGGACAUGUACCACAGUUUAAUCAUUGUUUAGAAGACACUGGGUUGUUUUCCCUUUUAGGAGAUUAUGAAUAAGCCUGGCAUAAAAAUUUGCAUAGAAAUAUGUGUGUGAAUACAAGUUUUUUAUUCUCUCAGGUGAAUGUACAGAAGCAGGAUUGCUGGAUUGUAUGGUAAUUGUGUGCUUACUAUUAUGAGAAACUGCUAGCUGAUUUUUGAAAGUGGCUAUUCUGCAUUGCCACCAGCAAUAUAUGUUGCUGAACAUUUUUGCCAGCACUGGGCAUUGUCAUUAAAAAAAAUCGCCAGCCUGAUAUGUGUGAAGUGAUACCACAUACGGGUUUUAAUUUGUAUUUUCCCAACAGCAGCAUGUUAAAUUCAUGUGUUUAUCUUCUAUAGUAAACUGCCCAAAAAUUUUUUGCCCAUUUUUAAAAGGUUGUUUGUUUAUCUUAAUAUUCUGUUUUGAUGUAGUAAAAUUUAUUCUUUAUACAUUGGGCUUUAUGUGUUCUACCUAAUAGAGUCUUUACUUACCCCAAGAUGGUAAAGGUCUCUUUCCUAUAUUAUAUUCUAGAAGUUUUAUAGAUUUGAUUUUAGAUAUAGGUUUAUCAUCCAUUUCAAUUUAAAAAAUUUUAAAUCUAUUUUUUCUUUUCUUUUCUUUUUUUUUUUUUUUUGAGUCAGUGUCUGGCUCUGCCACCCAGGCUGGAGUGCAGUGGUGCGAUCUCGGCUCACAGCAACCUCUGCCUCCUGUGCUCAAGAGAUCCUCUCACCUCAGCCUCCUAUGUAUCUAAGACUACAGGUCACACCACCAUACCUGGCUAAUUUUUGUGUUUUUUUUUUUGGUUUUUUUUUUUUUUUUUUGUAGACACAGGGUUUUACCAUGUUGCCUAGGCUGGUCUUGAACUUCUGAGCUCAAAUGAUCUGCCCACCUUGGCCUCCCAAAGUGCUAGGAUUACAGGCGUGAUCCACCAUGCUUGGCCUCAUCCAUUUCAGUUUAACUUUUGUAUAAAUUGAUGGUAUGGGUUAAGCUUCGAUUUUUUUCAAAUAGGUAUCCAAUUGUUCCUGCACCAAAUAUAGAGGUAGGCUGAAAGAUGGGAGGUAAGGAGAGAUAAAGGCCUUUUUAAAGGAUAAGGAGACGAAGGUAGGGGGAGGUGAAAGUGUACUAAAUGUUUUAUCUUCCUGGCAUUGGAAAAAAAUGGGGAAGAAAUAGAACAUUUUGAUAGAGGCCACAUUUGAUAUGCUAUUUUAAGUAAAUAGUAAAGAAAUAUGUGUAUUAGAAGAAAGGAAAAAUAGCAAACAGCAAUACAAAAUAAAUAGUAAAUAUAAAGCAAGCUGUAAAACAAAAUAAAACGUGAUACUUUAUAUUAUAUUUGAAUGGACUGAUCUCUCUCGUUAAAUUACAGAGGCAGGAGAUUAAAAAUACACUUAAAUAAAUUGAUACAUAUUUAACUUAAGGGGUUGGCCAAAAAUAUUAGGCAAAUGCAAAUAAAAAAAGAUACAAGUGGAAUUUAAAGUUAAAAGCACUAAACAGGACAAAUAAGAACAUUAUAUAAUUGUAAAAAUCAAGACUCUAAUAAACAUAAACAUAAACCUUUGUUCAGUAAACAACAUAGCAGCUAAAGAGAGUGGAAGGAGGUCAUUGAUUUAUAAACAGAAAUUAUUGGGUGAGGUUUUAGGAAAGAUAUGUAAAGAAGGCUGACUCAACUGGAAAAUGUCUUUUGCCCCUUCCCUUUCUUAUUUCUUCUGUCCAUAAUGUUGGAUAUGAUGGCCGAAAUUGCAACAGCCAUCUUGUGGCCAUGAAGCAACUUUGAGGAUACAAAGUAGAAUUCAAGAUUGCAAAGCUCAAAGGAAUCCAGAUUGUUAAUGACAUCAUAGAGCUGGCAUAUCUUUCCUGGACUAUCUGUUGCCAGAUUUGCUUUGUGUGUGUGAGAGAGAGAAAAUAAAUCUCUUUCUUGUUGAAAUUACUGUUGUGCUGGUUUUCUUUCUAGCAGCUGAAAACAAUUCCUGUCUGAUACAUAGAGGAUUUAAAUAACACAAUCAAUAAACUUGAGUUAAUAGGUAUGUGUGGAUUGGUGAGCAUACUAUUUUUGAGGAAAAGGGAGAAAGUAAUGGAAUAUUUAAAAUAUCAAUCAGGAUUUGGUCCAAAAAGAAAGAUGAAACAGAAUUUUAAAAUUAGUUCCCUUACAGAUUAUAUUUAAUCUGUAAAUAUAAUUUACAGAUCCAAUUUAAAUAAAAUGAUAAUAUAAAGGCGGCCUUUAUCUGCUUAUAUUAAAAACACAUUUAUAAAUAAACUUUGGAUCAAAGAAAAAAAGAAAAUUGAAAACUAUUCAGAAAGCAACGGGAGUAAUUUAAACCACAAUAUGUAUUCUCAGAGGAAAAUUCAUAGCCUUAAAUGUCUUCAUUUUAAUAAAAGAAUAUAACAAAUAAUUAUUCAUCUAAAAUAUUAGAAAAAGAACAGUGAAAAAGCAAUUCAGAAAUGUAAAAGCUAAAAUUAAUGAAUUAAGAAAAAUGUUAGUAGAUAGGAUAAAACGCAAAUGCUUUUACAUUGAAAAUACCUAUAAAUUAGCUAAACCCUUUGCAAGAUUAAGAAAAAACGUAGAGAAACCAAAAAUUAACAAAAUUUGCAAGCAGAAAGAAGAUGUAAACACAUAUAAAAUAUAUAGUGAGAAUUAUAAGUAAAUAAUUACAUAUGUGUGUUUAGCAGCAGAUCUGAAAACAGAGAGGGCUUACUGAUUUCCUUUUAGUAUAUGAUAACAAAAAUUGACCAAAGUAGAAGUUAGAAAAAGGAAAAGACUAAUUUCAUGUAAGAGAUUGAAAAAAUAAUUUACAAUGUACCAUGGCAAAAACCACCAGAAAAAUGUUGGAUAAACUAUUCCAAACAUCUCAAAAGUGUUAUCUGAGCUCAAAAGCAAAUAAGGGCAAUUCCCAGGGAAUGAACCAAAUGAAAUUGAAAACCACUGGGGUAAGCUAGAACCGGAGCUGAAGCUAUGGCUGUCAUGCUUGCCAAUCUCAGUUAAAAAAAAAAAAAAUGUGGGGUUAGAAUACAAUGACUGUGGCAGGACAGAAGAUAAACUCAUGAAUCAUCACAUAAAACUGGGGUAUUCCUAAUGAAAAAUGAACUAAAAAAUUGUUUUCCAAAGUGUUUAUAUGUGUACAUACUCCCACCAGUACUUCCUAAUGAUAUUCAUGCUGAAAAACAUUUGGUAUUAUCAGACUUCUGAAUUUUUGACAAGCUAGUGGAUAUAAAAUUAUAUUUAUAUUCCUCUGAUUAUUAAUUUAUUAAUGAGGUUGAAGAUCUUUUUACAUGGUUAUAUGACAUUCAUUUUUCACCUUCUGUGAAAUGUUUGUUCACGACUUUUACCCAGUUUUCUAUUCAAUUGUUUGUUUUAUUGAUUUGUAGGAGUUCUUUAUGUAUUCUAGAUAUUAAUGUUUUGACAGGCAUAUUUGUUGCAAAUAUCCUCUCAUAGUUUGACUUGUCUUUUUAAUUUGUCUUUACUUUGCUUUUUGCUUUUUUUUAAAAAAAAAUUCUUAAUCCAAUGACAGAUUAUGGGUUGUCUUUUUCUGUGAACAAAAGUUAAUGAUUUUAAUAAAUUCAAAGUUAUUAUUUUAUUGUCAUUCUUUAUGUGUCUUAAGAAAUGCUUUCUUAGUGUGAGUUUGUAAAGAUAUAGUCCCAUGGUAUGUUUUAAAUUUUAAAAUUUGUUUUGUCACAUUAAAAUUUUAACCCCCAAAAUGGGAGAAGGGCAGAGCAAGAUGGCCAAAUAAAAUGCUCCACCAACUGUCCCACCCGCAAAGACACCAAUUUAACAUCCAUACUAAAAACAAAAAAGCACAUUCAUAAGAAUCCCAAAUCAGGUAACCAGCUUGGGCACAGUGGGGCAGAGUACCAAGCAGACUCUUGGGAUUCCUUUUUCCAGGACUUGACUCUUUGAUGGCAUUCCUGGACCUGCCCUGGGCCAGCGGGGAGCCCACUGCCCCAAAACCUGAGUCCUAGGCCAGGCAGCAUUCACCACACGUUAACUGAUAAUCCUUUGGGGCCUUAAGGGAACAUCUGCGGUAGUCUGGCAGUAGGUUCCAUGACCUGUGGUGGCACUGGCUAUGGGGUGAGGCUCCUCUGACUUUGGAAAGGGGAGGAAACAGUGGGAAAGGCUGCAUCUCAUGGUUUGAGUGCCAGCUCAACCACAGUACAGUAGAACACCAGGUAGACUUCUAAGGUUUUUGACUCCAGUCUCCAGCUCCUGGAUGGACAGCACCUCUGGAUCUGCCUGUGGCCCUGGGGAACUUGCUGCCUUGAAGAGAAGAACAAGAGGCUAGCUGGCUUUACCAACUGCUGAUUGUAGAGUCCCAGGGCCUUGAGCAAAUGUAGGCGGUAGCCAGGUAGUGGUUACAGCAAGCUAUGGACAACACAUAGUGCUGUGCUGGCUUCAAGUCUGACCCAGUGCAGUUCUAGUGGUGGUGGAUGCAAGGGUGCUUGUAUCACUCCACCCCUAGCUCCAGGUAGCUUAGAACAGAGAGAGAGACUCCAUUUGUUUGGGAGAAAGUAAAGGAAGAGAACAAGAGUCUCUGCCUGGUAAUUCAGGGAAGUCUUUCAGAUCUUAUUCAAGACCAUAAGGUGGUACCUCUACGAGUCUCCAAGAACCACAGAGUUACAGGGCUUGGGCUUCCCCCUAAUGCAAAUAUGGGUUAGAUCGCAACACUCAAGUCCUUUUGAAUACCUGGAAAGCCUUCCUAAGAAAGAUUGGUACAAACAAGCCCAGACAUCGAAGACUACAAUAAAUACCUAACUCUUCAAUGCCCAGACACAGAUGAACAUCCAAGAGCAUCAACACCAUCCAGGAAAAGAACCUCACCAAAUGAACUAAAUAAGGUGCCAAGGACCAAUCCUGGAGAAACAGAGAUGUGAACUUUCAGACAGAAAAUUCAGAAUAGCUGUGUUGAAGAAACUCAAAGAAAUUCAACAUAACACAGAGAAGAAAUUCAGAAUUGUAUCAGAUAAAUGUAACAAAGAGGCAGAAAUAAAUGAAAGGAAUCAAGCAGAAAUUCUGGACUUGAAAAAUGCAGUUGACAUACUGAAGAAUGCAUUAGAUUCUCUUAAUAGCAGGAUUGAUAAAGCAGAAGAGAUAAUUAGCGAUCUUGAAGACAGGCUAUUUGAAAGUACACAGUCACAGGACACAGAAAAGAAUAAAAAACAAGGAAGCAUGCCUACAGGAUAUAGAAAAUAGCCUCGAAAUGGCAAAUCUAAGGGUUAUUGGCCUUAAAGAGGAGAUAGAGAAAGAGAAGGAUUAGAAAGUUUAUUAAAAGGGACAAUUACAGAAAACUUCCCAAACCUAGAGAGAGAUAUCAACAAUCAAUUACAAGAAGGUUAUGGAACAUUAAGCAGAUUUAACCCCCAAAAAGACUACUUCCAGGCAUUUAAUAAUCAAACUCCCAAAGGUCAAGGAUAAAGAAGGGAUCUUAAAUGCAGAAAGAUAAAAGAAACAGAUAACAUACAAUGGAGCCCCAAUACAUCUGGCAGCAGAUUUCUCAGUGAAAACCCUACAGGCCAGGAGAGAGUGUCAUGACAUAUUUAAAGUGCUAAAGGAAAAAAUCUUUUAACCUAGAAUAGUAUAUCCGGUAAGAAUAGCUUUCAAAUCUGAAGAAGAAAUACUUUCCCAACAAACAAAAGCUGAGGGAUUUCAUCAACAUCAGAGCUUCCCUACAAGAAAUGCUAAAGGAAGUACUUCAAUCAGAAAGAAAAUGACGUUAAUGAUCAAGAUGAAAUCAUCUGAAGGUAUGCAACUCAAUGGCAAUAAUAAGUAUAUAGAAAAAUGCAUAAUAUUAUAACACUGUAACUGUGGUGAGUGAACUCCUCUUAUGUAGAAAGACUAAAGGAUAAACCAAUUAAAAAUAAUAAUAAUAACUGCCAGGCACGGUGGCUCAUGUCUGUAAUCCCAGCACUUUGGGAGGCCGAGGCAGGCGGAUCACUAGGUCAGG